rnacentral:lncRNA from 1 species
GGAGCUAUCCACGGGAACCGCCAAGAUGCGGCAAGAACUCAAGGAGGUAACCCACCAGGUUUCCUGGCUGCAACACGUGGAUUGCCAACCAGAACAGUUGUUGCUGCUGUUCCAGCACGGUCCUCAGGCGAGGCUCCAAACCAUAUCUUUAGUGUUAUCCUACCUGUUCAAGUGAGGGGUCAAGUUGUAGUGCCUAAUCAGUCCUCUCAAGGUUCUCAAACAGCAGUGGGCAAUGGAGCUCAAGGAAAUUCAACAUCUGCUAUUCCACAAGCUUCUGUUGGUGGUGUUUCUGGUGUUCCUCUUAUAGCGGCACAGGUAGCCAAUGCAUUGGCAAAUGCACCAAGCCAGG